CAGAGUUCAUGCCCUCACGGGUAGAUCUCCCACCCUUGAAUAUUAUACCUUCGUUGCUUUGGCGGGCCGCUUCGGCUGCUGACUUCGGUUAGCGAGUGCCCGCCAGAGGACCCUAAACUCUGAAUUAUAGUGUCGUCUGAGUACUAUAUAAUAGUUA
rnacentral:misc_RNA from 1 species